AUUGAACGCUGGCGGCAGGCCUAACACAUGCAAGUCGAGCGGAUGAAGGGAGCUUGCUCCUGGAUUCAGCGGCGGACGGGUGAGUAAUGCCUAGGAAUCUGCCUGGUAGUGGGGGAUAACGUCCGGAAACGGGCGCUAAUACCGCAUACGUCCUGAGGGAGAAAGUGGGGGAUCUUCGGACCUCACGCUAUCAGAUGAGCCUAGGUCGGAUUAGCUAGUUGGUGGGGUAAAGGCCUACCAAGGGGACGAUCCGUAACUGGUCUGAGAGGAUGAUCAGUCACACUGGAACUGAGACAUGGUCCAGACUCCUACGGGAGGCAGCAGUGGGGAAUAUUGGACAAUGGGCGAAAGCCUGAUCCAGCCAUGCCGCGUGUGUGAAGAAGGCCUUCGGAUUGUAAAGCACUUUAAGUUGGGAGGAAGGGCAGUAAGUUAAUACCUUGCUGUUUUGACGUUACCAACAGAAUAAGCACCGGCUAACUUCGUG
rnacentral:rRNA from 1 species